CCCCUCUCAGGAUUGCACCUGGAGAGUUUCCAGUACCCUAAUAGCCUCGGCUAUGGAAGGGAGAGUCAAGCAGAGGCAUACCCAUUCCAUUCCUAGCUUGGGUAGUGGCUAGAGAGUGGAAGGAAAUCUGCUACAAAU